rnacentral:rRNA from 1 species
GACGAACGCUGGCGGCGUGCUUAACACAUGCAAGUCGAACGGAAAGGCCCUGCUUUUGUGGGGUGCUCGAGUGGCGAACGGGUGAGUAACACGUGAGUAACCUGCCCUUGACUUUGGGAUAACUUCAGGAAACUGGGGCUAAUACAGGAUAGGAGCUCCUGCUGCAUGGUGGGGGUUGGAAAGUUUCGGCGGUUGGGGAUGGACUCGCGGCUUAUCAGCUUGUUGGUGGGGUAGUGGAUUACCAAGGCUUUGACGGGUAGCCGGCCUGAGAGGGUGACCGGCCACAUUGGGACUGAGGUACGGCCCAGACUCCUACGGGAGGCAGCAGUGGGGAAUAUUGCACAAUGGGCGGAAGCCUGAUGCAGCAACGCCGCGUGCGGGAUGACGGCCUUCGGGUUGUAAACCGCUUUCGCCUGUGACGAAGCGUGAGUGACGGUAAUGGGUAAAGAAGCACCGGCUAACUACGUG